rnacentral:lncRNA from 1 species
UUAACCUUGUUCCAGAACUUGUUCUUCUUAGACUUCCUGGGACCUCUGUCCCACUUCUUGCUACCUGAAGCUGCUGCACUCAUUGAAGAAGAGCCUGGGGUCUUAGAACCAGAAGGCUGUGCCACUGACUGUUUAACUGUCCCCUGAACGAUGGCACUAGCCUCCAUUUUCCGGGCCAUAUCCACUAUGGCAUGGAAGCUCUCCCUAUCUGCUGACUGGAUCAAGGAGGAAUAUCUGGAGUGGAGUUUCAUGAUAUACCUCCUUGACCUUUUCUGGUCUGAGUCAAGGUUUUGCCCUGCAAAUGGCAACAGCUCCAAGAAUCUGUCUGUGAACUCCUCUACAC